AUCGUGCCAUGUCCGCCUCACUCCUCUUCCAGAGCGUGUCACACACUGACGUGCACGUGACGGGACAAUCCUGAGCGCCGUUUAAUGCGUGAGCGUCGAGGUCUUGAUUCGGACUGGCAGCUGCACAGAGGGCCCAGCAGCAGCCAGAGGUAGAGGAUCACACAGGCCCAGCACGACGACAUCUUCACCAAGAAGGGCAGCAGAAGAAGCAGGUGGCUUUCUGGAACUCAUAGCGAUAAACUUUGAUCAUCCAAAACGGGCCGAACACCUCUGCCAGAGACGACCCACCAUGCAAAGAGGACACAGCAGUACAUGAUGGCUGCUCCAAUGAUGGCCACAGCGUUGCCGUCAUUCUGGAUGUCAUGUUGUCCCACGCUGGGGUAACAGGCGGUCAUGUUCAUGCCCUGAUACACCACUGACAGAGAGCAAAACAGAGUGUUAACUUUCACUGUGUAUACAGGUGAGUAUGAUGAUAUACACCACUGGCGUACAUUUCAGAAAUGUCCCAAUUUGGGAUCAAUAAAGUACAUUGUAUAUUAUUUAGGUUUUACUGCUGACUCCAGACAAAACUCUUUACAGAUAAAUGUACAACACUAGUCUCGUAUUGUAUCUAUGUUUUCUUGGUUAAAGGAAACAAAAAAUAUGGAAAUAGUUUUAGGUGAUUUACAUCAGCUGUUUAUAAAUCAAUUGUUUUGCCUCUUUUUGUAAUUGUGUGUGUCUCUUUAGAGUCAUUUUGUCUUGCUAGUGAUCAUUGUGUGUCCGUUUCAUACUGUGCUUCUUUGUAUUCAAUUUGUGUCUUUUCUUGAUCAUUUUGUGUGUCUUUGUGGUUGUUUUGCCCAUGCUUAGCUUGGUUGUUGUAAGCUUAUCGUGGUAUCUUUGCAGCUUUUUGCUAGAUCUUGUAGUUGUUUUUUAGAGUCUUUUAAAAUAGACAUUCAUUUUGUAAGAAAGUAAAAAAAAGAUUAAAUGAGAGGCUGAUUAGGCCUUUAUAAAAACAUAUUUAAAACAUAUUUGGAAAUGGACAAAUGUAGUUGUCUUCCAAGUGUCACUUCAAAUGUUUUCUUUCUUUCUCUGUCCUUCCUUUCAAAUCCUGGGAAAUUCCUGUCUUUCUUGUAAAAUAGGGGGUCUCAGCUGCACUUCUCCUUCAGGGACUCUCUCUCUAAGACUCCCCCUCUGGAUAACCGCUAGGGUGAACACAGAGUCCUUACAGAUAUGUACUGUAUGCUCACACAUGUGCAUGCAUGUGCAAAGACUGACGGUCAGUUUCAGUCGGCUGUGGAUUCCUGAGAGAAGUUUUUCAUUUGUGUGCUGA